ACAUCCCGAUGCUAUUUCUAGAGAUAGAAAGUUACUUCGGUACAUCGGUGACAGGUGGUGCAUGUUGUCGUCAGCUCGUGUCGUGAGAUGUUGGGUUAAGUCCCGCAACGAGCGCAACCCCUAUUGUUAGUUGCCAUCAUUCAGUUGGGCACUCUAGCGAGACUGCCGGUAUAAACCGGAGAAGUGGGGAUGACGUCAAAUCAUCAUGCCCCUUAUGACCUGGGCUACACACGUGCUACAAUGGUUGGUACAACGAGUUGCGAGUCGGUGACGGCGAGCUAAUCUCUUAAAGCCAAUCUCAGUUCGGAUUGUAGGCUGCAACUCGCCUACAUGAAGUCGGAAUCGCUAGUAAUCGCGGAUCAGCACGCCGCGGUCGAAUACGUUCCCGGGCCUU
rnacentral:rRNA from 1 species